CCUACGGGUGGCAGCAGUGGGGAAUAUUGCACAAUGGGGGAAACCCUGAUGCAGCGACGCCGCGUGAGUGAAGAAGUAUCUCGGUACGUAAAGCUCUAUCAGCAGGGAAGAAAAUGACGGUACCUGACUAAGAAGCACCGGCUAACUACGUGCCAGCAGCCGCGGUAAUACGGAGGGGGCAAGCGUCAUUCGGCUUUACUGGGUGUAAAGGGAGCGUAGACGGCAGCACAAGUCUGGAGUGAAAUCCCGGGGCUUAACCCCGGAACUGCUUUGGAAACUGUGCGGCUGGAGUGCAGGAGGGGUAAGCGGAAUUCCUAGUGUAGCGGUGAAAUGCGUAGAUAUUAGGAGGAACACCAGUGGCGAAGGCGGCUUACUGGACUGUAACUGACGUUGAGGCUCGAAAGCGUGGGGAGCAAACAGGAUUAGAUACCCGGGUAGUC
rnacentral:rRNA from 1 species